rnacentral:rRNA from 1 species
AUGCCGUCGUCAGUUCGUACUGUGAAGCAUCCUGUUAAGUCAGGCAACGAGCGAGACCCACGCCCACAGUUGCCAGCGUACUCUCUGGGAGUGACGGGUACACUGUGGGACCGCCGCUGCUAAAGCGGAGGAAGGAAUGGGCAACGGUAGGUCAGUAUGCCCCGAAUAUCCCGGGCUACACGCGAGCUACAAUGGUUGGUACAAUGGGUAUCUACCCCGAAAGGGGACGGGAAUCUCCUAAAACCAAUCUUAGUUCGGAUUGAGGGCUGCAACUCGCCCUCAUGAAGCUGGAAUCCGUAGUAAUCGCGUUUCAACAGAACGCGGUGAAUACGUCCCUGCUCCUU